UCCGGAUUGAAAAGUGAGCGAUAUGUUCCAGUUCUAACCUCAUCUGUGUAAGCCGCAAAAUCGGAUUAAUAUUGGAGCAUAUACCGAUGGUUCCAAAUCGACGAAGAUUGCUCUCGGAACAUGUUUAGCAGCUCCUCUAAAUAAAAAUGUAUCGUCUGCCAAUCCAGGGGAUCGGUCUUCUGGUAUCUGUCCAUCCGCUUCAUCAUUUCCGCCGUAUUUUUAUUUAGUAAGUCAAUAUUAACAUUGUUUCUAAUCGCAUCUUAAUUAAUAAUUACCUCCGAUUCCUACAAUAUCAAUUAAUAUUCAUUAGAUUUAAGUUCUCUAUUUCAUAACAUAAAAAAAUAUUUCCCAUGUUCAAGGCAAAAGAGCUC
rnacentral:lncRNA from 1 species